UCAUAUCCGUCUCCUCCUUCCAUUCCAAUUUAAAACUCCUGAUGAUGUUUGAAGCCGAGAAGAAACAAGAAACGGGGACGACGAUGAUGAUGUGCACUCAGAUAACCCAAAUGAAAUUUAGGUUUAUCAAGUUUCAACAAUAUACUUCUCAGAUUUGAUUGUUCUAGGGUUUGGAGGAUCGUUGGAUGUGGCGACUGUUUUGGAUUUUGUGGACUCUGGUAAGGAUUUGAUUGUUGCGGCUGAUGCGAGUGCGUCGGAUUUGAUUCGGAGUAUUGCGGCUGAGUGUGGAGUUGAUUUUGAUGAGGAUCCGUCUGCUGUGGUUAUCGAUCAUGGGAGCUAUGCUGUGUCAGGAACUGAGGGGGAUCAUAUGUUAAUUGCUGCUGAUGAUUUUAUUAAAUCUGAUGUGCUUUUAGGAAGUAUAAAAUUGAGGUGGUUAAUGACAUGUUCAAUCCAGCAGGGCAAAAUUAAACAAUAAGGAGGAUAGUCAGGUAAUUUGUGUAUCACUAUGAGAAGAAGAUGAGCUGGGCAAAAUUAUAGAUUUUGUCGAAGAAGAUGAGCUAGGCUGGGAUGUGAAACUGGGUGUUAAUCUGCCAGUACCGUUUAGAACCAAACCGUUUCGACCAGUACCGGUUCGCGUCGAAACGGUUCGAUUCGAAACGGUACUGGUCGAAACGGUUCAAUUCAAAACGGUACAGAUCAAACUGUUCACGUCGAAAUGGUACGCAUCGAAACGGUUCGUGUCACAACGAUUCGCGCCGAAACAAUUUGGUUUUAUUUUCAUUAAGUGAGUGGGCGGUUAAUAUUCAGAGAGACAACUAUGCGUCAUACGUUGUCCAUUAUCCCAUGCUCGCUUAUUUGGCGAUAGUGGAAAAUGAGUCUAUUGGGAGAGAACGCUACAAUUUCAUGCAGGUUCUGCUACAGGAAAACGGGCAAGUUUUGGAAAUGUGAGAUCUGAAAGGCAUUCUAGAUGGGUCCCACACUUGCCGAAACAAAAAAUACGGGUGAAUUGAGGACAGCGAAUAACGGAACAAGCAGCACUAAGCCUUUGGUUAGCGAUGGCAAGCGCAAGCCGAUAAGAAGAAAUUCUCAAAUUUGCCCACAUUUCAUCAAAUCUUUCGACACGUGAGAUAUGGUUUUGUUUUUUUAAUUUUGCUUGUAGUACAAGGGGGAAAUGAGACUGGAUGCGGUUAAUGAUGUUGACGAGGACGAGAUGCUGGAUGUUGACGUAGAUUGACUCUUGUUAGCUCAGAAAUAUAGAAUGCAUAGUCACCCUUGUUUUUUGCAGUGUGUAACAGCUUUAUUUUGAUAUGCUUUCAUGUUUCUAAUACCAGGUAACAAGUAAAGGUUAUGCACUUUAAGGCUUUGGCAGGGACUUCUGUAGCAAUCAUAUUUGCUAUUUAGAUAAUGACAUGGUAAAUCUUAAUGAACUUCAUUACAAGACGAUAAACAACUUUAAGUGAUCGUUUGUUUG